GCUGCUCAGAGCCACAUCCAGCCUGGCCUUGAAUGCCUGCAGGGAUGGGGCAUCCACAGCCUCCUUGGGCAACCUGUUCCAGUGACCGAUUGUGCCGUCCUCCACUCAACUCAUUUUUAACCACAUAUCCUCGUUUUUGUGUUCUGUACAGUUGCUGUGCAUUUCAGCCAUUGGUAAGAGUUUAUGCUGAAGCUCUGAGUUUUCCCAAGAAAGCAGAGAAGAGACCAGUGUAGCAGGUGGAAGCAUGCAGUGAGUCCCAUCCUUGCUCUGCAAGAUGAACCCUUUUCUGUUUCUCCAGUUGGUUUUGUCUCAUGUGUGAUGCUGGCUAAUGGGGCCUGUGUUAAUGAGUUGAUGUCCUCAGCAGCUCCUACCACACUCUUGGGAAGGUUCCUGCAUUCAGUGCUGCCUUUGGGGAGGGCUCUUGGUGUGCAGCUCUGCCAUCCCAGCCGGUGAGUGCUAUGAAUAACAAUGCUGCUCACAGGGAGUCACUGCAAACUCACUAUCAUUUGCUUUCUGCAUUAUCAUUUUUCCAUAUGGGAAGUGGAAAAUCAUUUUGAGUGUGUAGAAGCAGAUAAGUAUUCUGGUCCUGGACAUUUUCUGAGCUUGUUUACAGAGCACCCGGGCUCCAAUCGCUAGAUCUAAUUGACCAGGAGCAGCGUGCAGCUCCACUCUGAUUAUUGUUGGAGUUAUCUGCACCGAGAGGAGCAGUGACUGCCAACAGGGGCUGACGUCCAUGCCCAUCCACUGGGGCCCUGGAUCUCCUGGCACUGCCCCAGCAGCACAUAGCUGGGGCAGAGCCCAUUGAGCAGCCCUUGGGUUGUUUUUGGAUCAUGCUGCCCUGGUGAUAGCACCUAUAGAGGUCUUUGGGGCAAUCUUCAGAUCCAUUCAAAAAAAUUAAUUCAAGAAACCAACCAAGUAAACACAGGCUUGCAAGAUCCCUGGAACCCCCCUGUCUGUGUCAUUUCAGGGAACUUUAAUUUUAGGUGUGGAAAAAGUGAAGAACUGCGACCUAUUGUACCACCUAUAAAUGAAAAGUAGGUACUAAAUAUUUUAUUUUUCCCCACUUCUCUGUUUAUUCUUCUGCCUCGCUUUUCAAUCUUCAUGCAAAGUUUGUGCAUGAGUGUGUGUGUGUGCUUUUCUCUCCAAGAGCACAUACAGUAUCGGUAACCAUGGGCAGGAUUUAAUAAUUCAAAGUAAUAUGAAACCUUGCUGGUAUGGAAAUGGGCUUGUGAUUGGCUCGAUCUGCUAGCUGGAUGGGAUGAAAAAUCUCAUUUUUGGAAAAAUAAUCAAAGAUUAUCAGCCGCAUCCAGGAAUUGUUGGGCUCUCGCAGAGUGGUCGAUUUCUUGGCACACGUGUAUUCAGUCCCCUCCACUGACACACAAAUAUAAUGCUUAUAUUCAACAUGCACCCGAAUAUCUUCACGUUGUACCCCUGUCACCUGUCUUGCUUCCUGUUUUUUGUGUUGUUUUUUCCCAAGGUACCAGUGAAAGAAUAAGGUCUUUGCAUGAAGACCAGUAACUCUGGUUACCAGUGUACAGAGGGAGAGCAUUAACAGAAAUGUUGGAAAUAACACACAGCUGUAUCAGCUCUGGUCUUUCAUCUCUUGCUCUCUUCAUCAUUUACAGAAAUGUAUUUGUCUUAAGAUAUUUAGCAUUUCGCUACCAAAAAGAAUAAGGAUUCAAGGAAUGUAGUCUAAACUACAGCACAAAGAAACAACAUAUAAAUAGGUCCACAUAUAUAUACUGUAGGCAUUAGGUACAGAUUCUCACACAUCACAGAGGAAAAAAGGUAUCUUUAGCAGAGUGAUGCCCUUCAUUUGAAAAUAUUCUGGCCAUCACCCAGUUAAGGUCCUCAGUCUCUCUGCUCUUCAUAAUGCCUUCAUAAAUACGUGUAUGAGCAUAUGUAGAUGCACAUAGAUUUAAACAAUAUAUGUACAUAUGCUAUUUUUUCUACCUCUUAUAUAAAUAUAGAUACAAAGCAUCACGAUUGGAGUUCCCAGGGGGUGCUUAUGUGGAACUUCAGAGUGAACGUGGCUGACACUUGUUCUUUGUUGCCCCUGGGCUACUGGUUUGAUCACUGACUGAAUGGAUUUAUCCGUGUCAGCGGAAGGAAUUCUUCACUCUUGUCAAUGAGGAAAUACUUGCUUUUGAAGACAUAAAAAAUAUAUAUUGGAGAGAUUCCAGCUUUGAGUGCUCGAGCAGCACACGGUGCGCCGAGGAACAAGGAGGG